GUGAGACUUUUAGCCACGAAGUCAGACCUAAACAUGUAAAAUAAUAGCGAAAGCCUGAAAGAACUGUCAUAAAUCAUCCAAAACCUAGUGUAAUAAUGUAAGAACAUCUAGUAUAAUAUUUAAAAGCUAAAAUUACAUAUCUGACUCUGAAUCAUAAAUAAAAACAAGUAAGGAUAGAUGAGGUCUAAAUCAUCCCUUAACUUUGGAGAGAAUCUGUACCUUAAAAAUCUGAGAUCCAUACAAAAUCAACCACCACGUGAGGUACUCAAAUUAGAAUCUAAAUCGAAAGAUCACAGUAGGUGUGAGUAUAGUCCACUUGUACUCAAUAGGUAUAAUAGGCUGACUGAGAAAAGCAAAAAAUAAGAUAAGUAAAGAAAAUUAUAAGCACGUCACCUACAAGCAGAAAAGACUCAAACGGUAGCUCACACCCUCUUUACUAACAGUUCUAAUAUAUAAACAUAAACAACAUAAACAUACAUGAAAAAUAUGUUGAAACUAAAUAAAAGUCAAGGAAAUAAAAGAAAUAACGUGAGAUGUGUAUGUGAAUGCAAUGCAAUGCAAUGUGGAUGUGAUGAAUGGUGAAAGUCAUCACAUGACUUUCUGUAUACAACCAUAAAUUUUGUAGCUUCUAGGUAAGACCCAUGGGGGGAGGGGGAUUCUCAACCCAUAUAUUAUAUCGCAUAUCUCAAUAUCAACUUAUCUCUCCAACUUUUGUUCGUGGAGAGGCUUUUCAUAAAAUUAUCUCAUUUUCAUUCAAAAAUAGUGUUUCUCAAUGGUAAUAGUAUCUCAUGAAUAUAUAUGAAUGAAAUAAUGAUUUAUCUCACAAUGAACUCAAUGUGAUGAUAUCCAAUCCAUCCAACACAUAUACAUAAGUAAGCUCAGAAAUCAACACACUAUGUCCAUAAUUCAUAAUCAUCAACCCUAAUUAGGCACCAUCAAAAUAAAUAUGCAUGUAAGACAUCAUUAAUAUCAUGUCAACCCUAAUUCAGGUAUUUCUAUCAUGAUAAAGGCAACCAAUUCUCAAAUACGGCCUAUAUUGACAAAAUAAGCCCUCGCACGGGCAGAUAUCUAGAAUAAAGAUAUAUAAAUGCAUAAAUAAGCCUAAUAAUGUCAAAUAAAGCCCCUACACGGGCAACACAUAAUAUCAGAUAUCACAAGUCAAUAAUAACAAAGUAUAAGCCCCCCACUGGCACAAAAUAGUAAUAAUAAUCUCGAAAUACUGACUCCAUAGUUAUUUUUCCUAACUCAUAGCAUGUUUUACUUAUUAUUAACUACCCAGCUCAAUUUGAAAGAACUUAAGUGAUAACCUACUUCAAAGAGACAAAAUUCUGGCCUAAAGUGCUUUAACACGAAGCCUUCUCCUUAUGAAAAGACUUAGAAUCAACUACAAUAUUCAAAUAUAGUAAUCUACAUAUUAAAAUAAAGCUAAUG
rnacentral:lncRNA from 1 species